CUACGGGCGGCUGCAGUGGGGAAUCUUAGACAAUGGGCGCAAGCCUGAUCUAGCCAUGCCGCGUGAGUGAUGAAGGCCUUAGGGUCGUAAAGCUCUUUCGCUGGGGAAGAUAAUGACGGUACCCAGUAAAGAAACCCCGGCUAACUCCGUGCCAGCAGCCGCGGUAAUACGGAGGGGGUUAGCGUUGUUCGGAAUUACUGGGCGUAAAGCGCGCGUAGGCGGACUGUUAAGUCGGGGGUGAAAUCCCGGGGCUCAACCCCGGAACGGCCUUCGAUACUGGCAGUCUGGAGUUCGAGAGAGGUGAGUGGAAUUCCGGGUGUAGAGGUGAAAUUCGUAGAUAUUCGGAGGAACACCAGUGGCGAAGGCGGCUCACUGGCUCGAUACUGACGCUGAGGUGCGAAAGUGUGGGGAGCAAACAGGAUUAGAUACCCGGGUAGUC
rnacentral:rRNA from 1 species